rnacentral:rRNA from 1 species
CAGUAGCCGCGGUAAUACGUAUGUCGCAAGCGUUAUCCGGAAUUAUUGGGCAUAAAGGGCAUCUAGGCGGCCAGGCAAGUCUGGGGUGAAAACCUGCGGCUCAACCGCAGGCCUGCCCUGGAAACUGCGUGGCUAGAGUGCUGGAGAGGUGGACGGAACUGCACGAGUAGAGGUGAAAUUCGUAGAUAUGUGCAGGAAUGCCGAUGAUGAAGAUAGUUCACUGGACGGCAACUGACGCUGAAGUGCGAAAGCCGGGGGAGCGAACAGGAUUAGAUACCCCCGUAGUCCCUGUCUCUUAUAC